rnacentral:rRNA from 1 species
AUGGCCACUCUCAUCUCCGCGGCGACUUCCUUGGCUCUGGACCUCCUCACCAUCCCCUCGGACCCGCCGUCCAUCAGCUCGGCAAUGGCCUUCUCCAUGUCGCCGCUCGGCACCUGGACGCCCUCGGCCUCCUCGGGGACGUUCUUGGCGGGCACCUUGACGCCGGACCUGACGCCUACGCGGAGCACGUCCACGAGCAGCCGCUCGCUGCAGAACUGGUCGGCGAAGCAGGGCCAUGUCAGCGUCGGCACGCCGUGGGAGAUGGCCUCCAGCGUGGCGUUCCAGCCGCAGUGCGUGAGGAAGCCGCCCACCGCCCGGUGCGAGAGGAUGGUCACCUGCGGUGCCCACCCGCGCACGACGAGGCCCCUGUCCUCCACGCGCGACUCGAACCCUUCAUCCUUGCCGAGCGCCACCGCGUACGCGUCGACGAAGAUGCCCUCGACGCCGCGGAACGUGUUGAUCAGCAGGCCAUCAGCGGUGACCUCGGCAUCGAGAACGUCGCGCUGCUCCUUCUCCGCGCCGGGGUGCUGGAAGAAGCCGCGGAACGUGGCCGUGUUCCCGACGGCGCGCACCGGGAAGUCCGGCACCUCGAACGGCUCCAACUCGUCGUCGCCGACGCGGUCGUACACGCCGUGCGUGGACAGGUUGUGCACGGCGAGGAGGAAAUAG